GAGCAAGACGCUAACUUCGGUGUCCUCUCUAUUAAUCCACAGUUUGCUCAUACUUGGCUACGCAGUGCUCUCUAGCCUGUGUGCCGCUUGCUGCCGGUCCAGAUUCCCCUAGAUCUGGUGCAGGUAACAUUUGCAUGAUCCAGUUGUAAUCUAAUAGCUUGAGGUUACUAUUAAUCAAUUGUUUUUGUGAUUUUACACAAAUUGACUUCCAUGUAGCCUCAGAAGUAUUGAUAUGUAAGUCAUUUCUCCAAGAUUCUAACUUAAAAUCUCCAGAAAACAAAUCUAAAUUAAAAAAAAAUCUGAAAGAGACUUUUAUUUAUUUUUUUAUUUUUUAUUUUUGAUGUUGAUGUCUCUAUUUUUAUUUCAAAAAAUGAAAUUAUUCAUUUCAGUUUCUAUGCCAAUUUUUCUAUGAUGCCAGUUCACAACAAAAGUUGCGUGAAAGCGCUUUAUACUGUAAGGUGAAAACCCUGCAGUAUUGUGGCGAAAACCCC
ensembl:lncRNA